UACGGAGGGUGCAAGCGUUAAUCGGAAUUACUGGGCGUAAAGCGCACGCAGGUGGCUGAGUCAGUCGAUUGUGAAAGCCCUGGGCUUAACCUGGGAAUUGCAGUCGAUACUACUCAGCUAGAGUAUGGGAGAGGGCAGUGGAAUUCCCGGUGUAGCGGUGAAAUGCGUAGAUAUCGGGAGGAACAUCAGUGGCGAAGGCGGCUGACCUGGCC
rnacentral:rRNA from 1 species